rnacentral:rRNA from 1 species
GUAAGGAAUAUUGGUCAAUGGACGCAAGUCUGAACCAGCCAUGCCGCGUGGAGGAUGAAGGUCCUCUGGAUUGUAAACUUCUUUUAUCUGGGAAGAAAAAGGACUUUUCUAAGUCAACUGACGGUACCAGAUGAAUAAGCACCGGCUAACUCCGUGCCAGCAGCCGCGGUAAUACGGAGGGUGCAAGCGUUAUCCGGAUUCACUGGGUUUAAAGGGUGCGUAGGUGGGCAGGUAAGUCAGUGGUGAAAUCUCCGGGCUUAACCCGGAAACUGCCAUUGAUACUAUCUGUCUUGAAUACCCUGGAGGUGAGCGGAAUAUGUCAUGUAGCGGUGAAAUGCUUAGAUAUGACAUAGAACACCCAUUGCGAAGGCAGCUCACUACAGGAAUAUUGACACUGAGGCACGAAAGCGUGGGGAUCAAACAGGAUUAGAAACCCGUGUAGUCC